UGCAAGAUCCUUAGCUGUUCGAAGAACAGUUCCACCUGCAUAGCACCCUUGAUGGUACAACAUCACUCUUCUGACAGAUGGUUCGAGGCCUAAAAGAUUAGCGAGUUUAUAAUCUGCACCAGGCAUUUCUACACCUGAGGUGGUACAAAAUACAAGGUGGGUGAUCUUCGAUUUAGGCUGACCCCACUCUUUAAGAGCCUUCAAUGCUGCUUCCUUACCAAGCUUGGGUACCUCAGCAGUGAUAAUCUCUUGGCGUAUGUUAAGAGAUGGAGCCAUAUAAGCACCAAUGUUUGGGUGCUCCUCAAGCAUUUCUUCGGUCAAAUGAAUGUAACGCUUCUUGAUCAUGGAUUUGUCACCUGUAUAUAAAUUAAACAGGAGUAAUAUGUGAGCUCAAGGCAUUCAUUGUUCAAGAUGAUCAACAUCGUUCAAGUGAGUGUAAAAAAAUUCAUCUUAGUAAAUAUAAAAGCUUAUUCUGCUCAUACCAUCGCGCAGAGAUGCAUUGAAUUAAUUUAAAAUGAGUACACAGGAUGUUAAAAUUAUACUUACAGAUGCGGUUGAACUUCUUCUUGAGCUCGGUCAUGUGCUCGCUCUUAGUGACCCGAAAAUAGUAAGCGGCGAAAUCAGACUGGUACAGACAGUUGUCCGGGGUAGCUGUGCCAAUGGCUAGAAUGGUGGCCGGACCCUUGGCACGCUGAGCAUUUCUAAUUUCCUCCACAGACGCCAUUGAUAGUGUGUGAUGACUACUGAAAUCGAAGCUUAAAAGUUGAAGAAGGAAAGAGAAGUGAAAUUGUAGGAGCACAAGUGCCUGGAGCUGGCUGGCCAAAGUUGUGUCUUGAGGUUGGUAUUUAUAAUCAUAAGAAAUGCUGUGUUUCACCAACUCUCAUCCACUUGGACGCUAUUGAAAUUGAAUGGUGUCCUGCCCAGUCAAUGGAUACUUGAUGAUAUGUGAAAGGGAAGGGUCUCCUAUGUAGGUAGGUGUGCAUUUGAAUAACCCAUGCUGCAGUAACAUGGGAUUUGAUCAUUUCUAACUUGGUAGGCUUCGGUUUUCAUUCUUUAUUUUUUGCGUUCUUGAUCUUCCUCUAUAACUAUAUUCUUUUUUUCUUUAGCCCAUGUAUGGUUGUUGGAAGCUUACCCUUUGUCUUUAGCCCAUGUAAGGUGGUUGGAAGCUUACCCUCUUUGACUUCAAGUUGGUAGGACCACUUCCAUAUGCCCCGAAUGCUAUAAUUUGACCAUGGAGUUGGGCUUCUUGACUUGCAAUGAUAGAAGACCCAAAUCUUUCACAUGCUGGGCUACCUGCUGCCGGCUGGACGUUUGGAAAUCUACAAUGAGGUAGAUUAUGUAGUCAAAUUUAGUAUUUAAGACUAAUGACAGUAAAAAUUAAUUACAACUAAUGAAUAUAAAUAUGUUAAUUUAAUCAUUUAAAAUAAAUUUUAACUUAACUUUAUUAAAUAAGCUAAGUGCUUAAAGUAAAAUUCUAAUAAUGUGUUUUAACUCAACACUUUAACAAUAAUUAAAUUUAUAUUCAACUUAAAUCAUCAAAUAAAAGACAUUAAGUUUUACAAACUCAACUUGAGAAUCUUAACUGAGGUUUAAAACUUAUAUUAAGAAUAUUUACAUUUCAUAGUUAAUAUCUUAGCUUAAAUUUUUAAUAGGUUUGGAUUCAUACACUUCCACCAGCUCCCAAUCCACUAGCAGCUGGUAGGCUGAUAAAGUCAUAGAUGGUGGCCGAGACUUGUUCAACGAUCUCAUGCUGAUUUAAAUUAUAUCAGAUGGUUUUUGAAUGCUCUUUGGGGUGGAGGGGGGAAGUGACAAAUUCAGCAUCAGCCGACCGGCUGCAAAUUAAUUCAUCAACUUAAGAAAUUUUUGUGUAGAACACAUUUUCACAUUUUAAACUUAUGAGAAGGAGAAUCCACACAUUUCUAUAAUUAAACAUAUUUAUUUAAGUUUUUUAAAUAAAAUAAUAAGGAAAAUAAGUCAUAACUUUUUCACUUUUAGUUGACUGCAAAGAUGAUAAAGUCAGUGUCUUCUGAAAGGAUUGCUAAACUAGAAGAAAGGAAAACUAAAUGAAUAAAAAAUAAAAAAUAUUGAAAUCAUUUUCACCAAAGGAAGAUUUUUCUAUUCAAAUUACUCAAGUCCAAAUUAUAUGGAGUCCAAUUUUUCUGGAAAUUUGUAUGAAAACUUCACUGAAAUAGGGACUAUAAAAAAGGCUGCAAAACAAACAAAAAAAGAGUAUAAUUCUUAAAUUAUUUUUAAUUGUUUGAAAAAUAAAGAGUUUAAAUAUGAAAAAAAAUGGUAUUUGAUUAAAAGAGCUUUCUCAGCUCCAAAAGUGACUUCUGGAAUAGGACAUAUGAACGGUAAUAUUUUUCUUACAGCAUGUUCAGGUAGCAGUAGACGUCACCCUUGUUGCUGUGGUGGCCAUCUUAUUUAAUUUAUAUGUACUAUGGACCCAACUUGGUUUCCAUAUUUUUCAAAUGAAUAGUCCGCGUCACUUUUAAGGCUUCAGUUGGAUAAGAUUUUUUUUGGAAAGAAAAGAAAAUUCUUACAUGGGGUUUUCAAGCAGAACUCAAACUAAAUCAGCACGGGAAAAGGAAUAUGUUGGAAAAUUUUCUCACUUGUAUGUCUAAACAAAACUCAAAUCCAUUAUUUCUUUCAUUUUGAUAACAUACACAAGGAUAAACAAUGAUUUUAACUUGAGGUCUCUGAAAAAGUCCUCCAAGAACGAUAAAUAACAAAUAAUAAAUUCUAAGUAAAGAUGAUUUCAUGGUGAUAUAUCUUUACUAUCUAUAUUUGAUUAAUAGAACAUGGCUCGCGGAUCAUUUUUCCUAUCAUUUCACUUAGUUUGAAUCCAUUUGAACGCUAUGUAGCACAACGGUCUCAAUGGUCAAGCCUGGCCCAAAGCCAAACAAAACACCCCAAUCCAAUCCUUCACCUGUGGUUAUCUUUCCUUCCUUGAGCGAUUUCUUUCUCAUCUCGUCCAAAAUAAACAAGACACAUGCACUCGACAUGUUCCCAUAUUCACUUAGAAUAUGUCUUGUUGCUUUGAGUUUCUGUUUAUCUAAAUUGAGUUUUGCUUCAACCGCGUCAAGAAUAGCUGGGCCACCGGGAUGAGCAAUCCAGAAUAAGGAAUUCCAGUCACUAAUACCAAUUGGGUCAAAAGCCUUAGUCAAACACUUCUCUAUGUUUUCAGAUAUCAAACUAGGCACAUUAGGCCACAAUUGAAAGGUGAGACCCACUUCACGUAAGUUGCCGGCAAUAGCACCUGCUGAAUUUGGAAUAAAUGUUUGUGCUGCUGAAACAAGCUGGAAGAGUGGUCGUUCAAUCGAGAUAUCAGGAUCUGAUCCAAUGAUUACAGCUGCUGACCCAUCACCAAAAAGUGCUUGGCCAACUAAAGAGUCUAAAGCAGUUUCUGAAGGCCCACGAAAUGUAACAACAGUGAUCUCAGAGCACACUACAAGAACUCGUGCUCCUGCAUUAUUCUCUGCAAGAUCCUUGGCAAUUCGAAGAACAGUUCCACCUGCAUAGCACCCUUGAUGGUACAACAUCACUCUUCUGACAGAUGGUUCGAGGCCUAAAAGAUUAGCGAGUUUAUAAUCUGCACCAGGCAUUUCUACACCUGAGGUGGUACAAAAUACAAGGUGGGUGAUCUUCGAUUUAGGCUGACCCCACUCUUUAAGGGCCUUCAAUGCUGCUUCCUUGCCAAGCUUGGGCACCUCAGCAGUGAUAAUCUCUUGGCGGAUGUUAAGAGAUGGAGCCAUAUAAGCACCAAUGUUUGGGUGCUCCUCAAGCAUUUCUUCGGUCAAAUGAAUGUAAC
rnacentral:lncRNA from 1 species